GUCUGCUUCCCCAGGGCCCUGACAUCUGGCCUCUGGAAAGCAAGCUGAAAGACCAAGAGCAAGCUGGCUCUGUGAAGCUCCACACACCUAUCAGGUCUCCUUCAUGCCAGAGGAGGGGAGGCAGGUGUGAUGACCACCUGUUCCGAGAACCCUGGAGAUGCUGAGCAAACAGGCUUGUCAACUUGUCACCUCCAGAAUU